GCCAUCGUGGCGUAAUUGGUAGCGCAUUGCCUUCCUAAGGCAGGGGUUGUGGGUUCGAGCCCCAUCGGUGGUA